rnacentral:rRNA from 1 species
GACGAACGCUGGCGGCGUGCUUAACACAUGCAAGUCGAACGGUAAGGCCCCUUCGGGGGUACACGAGUGGCGAACGGGUGAGUAACACGUGGGUGAUCUGCCCUGCACUCUGGGAUAAGCCUGGGAAACUGGGUCUAAUACCGGAUAUGAGCUCCUGUCGCAUGGCGGGGGUUGGAAAGGUUUACUGGUGCAGGAUGGGCCCGCGGCCUAUCAGCUUGUUGGUGGGGUAAUGGCCUACCAAGGCGACGACGGGUAGCCGGCCUGAGAGGGCGACCGGCCACACUGGGACUGAGACACGGCCCAGACUGCUACGGGAGGCAGCAGUGGGGAAUAUUGCACAAUGGGCGAAAGCCUGAUGCAGCGACGCCGCGUGAGGGAUGACGGCCUUCGGGCUGUAAACCUCUUUCAGCAGGGACGAAGCGAGAGUGACGGUACCUGCAGAAGAAGCACCGGCCAACUACGUGCCAGCCGCCGCGGUAAAAC